rnacentral:lncRNA from 1 species
AUAGAUGUCUGCAUAAAGUUCAAAUCUAUUUGGAUGAUAAAAGUUGCCACCUUGUGAAUUUCAAAGAAAAUCUCUCCCUCACUCCCUCAUUGUGAGGCUAAAGUACUUGAUGGGGCUAUUGAAGAAAAGGUAAUCCAUUCUCGUGUUGUAUGCUCCUCUCUAUAUUUUUAUAUUCUCGUGAUUUUCAUACGCUUUUUUUUUUUUUUUUGGCUUAUUGUUUUUAAAUUUAUUAUAAUACAUCAUGGGACAGAAAUAAAUGUAUGGCAAGCAUGAUACGUGGACUCAAUCCACGCUACCAUUUCAAAUAUCCAAGAAGGAUAGGAUUGUUGUAAAUAUUAUGUGGAUGGUCCACAUGAAUAGUUUGUACUAUUUAUGCAUAGUAUUUUCACUAUUCAUUUGUGGAAAAUUUGUAAAGUGAAUAGUGCUUUCUUUUGUUUAUAUAAAGGAAGAAGAUGAAUGAAGUGAGGGAAGUUCACGGGAAAGAAAGAGAGGAAGGAAGGAAGAGGAAGAGAGAGAAGGAAGAGGAAGAGAGAGAAUAGAGGAAGAUGAGAGGAGAUAAUAGAGAGAGUUAUCUUUGUACUCCUAUUAUUUCAGAUUAUAAUGAAAGCACCACUGCUGCCCCGAGGACGUACUCCAGUCACACUGACUGUAGAGGAACCUCGUAAAUUUUGUGUCUUGUUUCAUUUAUUCCACUGCACCCACCGUCGAUUUUACAACACGUUAUCAGCACGAAAAGCUCUCAUGUCAGUGGAAAGCACAACAUCAUAAAUCUGGUGAAGCAUUAUCUACCUCUCACCUCGGUCAGCUAAAAUCUCACAGAGUAGAGACGGCAAGCCAGACAUGUCAAACAGGGAAGAUCAUCUUGUCAAAAUUCCAUCAACCUUUCUUUUAUCACUUUUCUUUUAUCACUCUAACUAUUGAUGUGCUAAUCCUUAUCCCUGCUAGACCUGCAAUUUAUUUUUUCUCUCGUGGACAAGAAAGAUGGAGAGAUCUUACAGACAAACAAAGGUGCAGCAAAACAAGCAAAGGUAUGUCCAUUUUUCGUUUCUCCCACCGCGCCAGAAGCGCCCCACCGAAUUCCGGUGCGAAUUGAAAUUUCCAACGACCUGAAGUCGUCACGAGAUAAGAAAACUCGUACCUGACAACUGGUUUCCAGAGAUCCAGAAGAAUCUCAUUAGACUUGGAAACCCAGAUCGUGUCGUUCUCAAUGGAUCUCGAGGACCUUCAUGAAUCCUCAGUUGUCUGAAAUGGUGAUGGCAUGACUGACCCCACACAGGCCUCCCUCUCUUGUGCCUUCGUCAACCUCACUGUCAUCUAUGUCUCUAUGGAGAGGUUCUUGCUUUGCGAUGCCAUGUUCUUUGGGCCAUACAAGAACAACGCCAGUCUCUGGUAGCCUUUUUGGAUUGAAUUGGUUUUGUGUAACUCCCACAACAACCCAGCUGGUACUGGGUUUCGAGACUGGUAGAGAUAGACAAAGAAAAGGGGAAAUGGGGCCAAUGAUUUGGAAAGGUGCGUUGCACCAUGUAAAAUGAAAGAAAAGGCAAUGUUUUUUUGGAAUGGUGUAGAAUGUGAUUGAAUGAGAAAAUAAUAAAAUAAAAUAAAAAGGAAAUGGGGACGAAGGUUAUUGGAGGUACAUGAGCACCAUCUGGUAAGGAUAAGAAUAAUAAUAAAAAAGGGGAAAAGUUUGAAUGAUUGCCAAUCAAAGAAAAAAAAAAAUAUGAUGGAAACUUAAUCAUCACCCUUUUCUAUUAUUGCUUUAUUUAUGUGAAUGGUGUUGGCUUAAAACACUUUCACAAGCUCUAUUUAUUUAAAGCAAUUUAUUUACAGUGGGUAGAAUUAUUACCCUUUGCUUUAAAGCUUUGAUAUUUAUGUGAAUGGUGCUGAAUUAAAGCCCUUGUCACAAGCUUUAUUUACUUUACAGCAAUUUAUUUAUCAUGGACGGUUUUACCGCCUACUGCUUUAAGUUUUGAUUUAUGUGAAUGGUGCUGAAUUAAAACCCUUGUCACAAGCUUUAAUUUAUUUAUUGUUCAAUUUAUUUACUAUGGCUGGAAUUACCGCCUAUUGCUUUAAUUUAUUUAUUGUACUUAUCUUUUGUUACGAUGAGUAUAACAAGGACCCAGAGUUCCUUGAUUAGAUCAGAACAUGCAAUUUCUUGAUCCUCAUCACAUAAAAUGAUAGGACCCGAAGUUCCAUCAUGCAAAAGGAUCAAACAUGAAGUCCCUAGAUCCUCAAGAUCGGACAUGAAGUUUCUUGAUAAGUACCUUAAGUUUGAAGUGCCACAGUGCCUCAACUUAAUUAUAAUAAAGGUCAUAAAAGUCUCAGUCCAUAGACUAUUUAAUAAGGACCAGAAGUUCCUUAUGUCCAUACUUAAAAUGGUUUAGCAGAAGCAUUUAUUAAGCGGAUGAAAUUGAUUACCCGCGCUCUGCUCAUGAAAACGAAAUUACCAGUUUUCUACAUGGGGACAUGUCAUUUUACAUGACGCAUUAUUAAGUUUGGAUGAGACCAGUUUCCAACCAUCAAUAUUGCUCAGUACAACUCGUGUUUGGGAACUAGCCAAACAUUAUACAUUUACGAGUUUUUGGUUGUGUUGUCUAUGUGCCUGUAAGACUGCCACAACGUACUGAAAUGAGGCAUCAUUGCAGAUUAGGCAUUGAUGUUGAACACCAUCUAUCAUUCAAUAUUUGGAAUUCUUGAUUGGGGAUAUGUUUACCGCAUGGUUUGCGGACUGUCAUUUUGAUAAGACAAUUUUCCUGCCAUUAGGGGGAGAAAAUAACAUCGUUCCAGAAGAACGAUGAGAAAAUAUCAUUCCAAAAGAAUGAUGAGAAAAGACCGUUCCAGAAGAACGAAGAGAAUUUGUCUUAUUUUGAUUCACGAAGCAAUCAAUGAGAAAAUGAAAUAUGAAUAAUUGAAUGAUGCAACGAAAGUGAUGAAAUCAUAUAUACUUACUGCAAAUGUGCCUACAAGAAUUGAUGUCUCUGUUGGAUAAAAUAAUGAGACAGUAAAUGAUUUUAUCUGUUGCACGCCUGAAGCGUGGCAGAUUUUUAGACUCAAAAGGUUCAGUUAUUCGAAAGAAGAAUAAUAUGGCACUACUGAACUAUUGCAUUCCCGAAGCAUAACUGUUGCAUGCCAGAAGCAUGACAGUCGCCGCAUGGAUACACGUCCCAGAUAGGACAAUCCACAGACAUGGGAAUAUUGAUGUCUCAUGCAUGAAGCAUGAUUGACGUAUAGGUUCUAAAUGACUCAACUCUUGGAAGUGGAGAUUAAAAUCCAAACUCUAUAACGCUCAAGAAGAGGUUAUGAUCCGCAUUCUCUAAACUAUGACUAUCCUGGAAGAGAUAGUGUAAUGCCCUUGAAGAGGCAAUGGAUAUCCAAAGAAAUGAAAAGCUUUUAUGCAUGCGCAUGCACAUGAGAAUAUGGGAUCACGGAUUGAUGAUAACCAAUGGUAAUUUUGGUUUUUACAAGUAGCUACUAAAUUCAUCAAUAAGCUGUGUUAAUAUUGAGUCACGUUCUUUUGUUCGUCGACAAAAGAAAAAUUAUUGGCCAAAAUGGAGAAAGGCAAUUCCAUUACAAUUUUGUAAGAACGUGGGCAAAUGAACCUAUAUAUAUUUGAAUACAAUACAAAUAGCCAAAAGAUGUUGAACCAAGGAGGUUAUAUAUGGGCAUUUGCAAUACAGUGUAAUACACUUACAUGAUAUGACACAAGGUUGUAAACGAGUUCAUAUGAAUGGAGAAUUAUAUACGAAGGGUUGUGAGUCGCCCACAUUAUAUCUCCAUAAGUAAAUCCCUCAAGUAUACAUGGGAGCAAAUUGCUAUGUAUAAAUUCCAAAGGAAAAUGUGUCAUGAAGUGUAGAAAACCCUUGAAGGAUUCAAAUUGCUUGAAGUAAGCCUCUGAAGGGUAAAACAUAAAAUAUGUACUCAAUACCAAUGGAUGAUAUGAAUUGCCUUAGUGAGUACUAUCAUUAUGGUAUUGUUGCAACAUACUAAAAUCUCUUGCAAGAGUCAAUGACAUUAAAUUAUAACUCUUGAAGAGUUGAUGAUAUUAAAUUGGGACUCUUGAAGAGUCUAGAAAAAUUAUAAAGUGUUGAAGGAAUUAUUGUCUUGAGCUGCAGAUCGAACAAUCUACCAACACGAAUCUUAUCCAUGAUAUUUAUGAUAUUAAAAAAAUCAUAUGGAUUGAAGAUUAUGAGUUGAAUACUCAUAUGAUGAAGACACUAAGAAUAAUCAUUUAUCUUCGUGAGGGUAAAGAUAAAUUAAUACUUGGUCAAGAAGUACCACAUCUUAGUGAAGUAUAUGCUUUAUUGUAUUUGGCACAAUACAUUGAAUGAAAUAAAGCUUAUUUAUUAAUAUCUCCAAGAAAUUAUAGAUAUAUACAUACACAUGAGUUAAAAUAAACAAACAGGAUGAAGCCUUCACAAAGGUUGCUCAUGUGCAGCCUCAGUACUCGGAAGUACCCCAGAAGGGGGAGGCAUUAGAGAUUGAUCAUGUGGCACCCCAGUACUUAGCAAAACACCAGAAGGGGGAAGCAUCAGUUGCUUUCGGAAUCUAGCAACGAACCUCUGGUGAUCACUUUGAAUCCGACUUUCGGAUUCCUGCAGUUGGACGAGCUUUCUUUUCAUGCUCGUAGAGUAACUAUUUGCAAGCACGUGUAACACCCUAUUCUCGUGCUUGAGCCCUCUGAUCUCUUGUUUAAGACUUGCCACCUCCGCUAUCAAUGAUUCAACUUGGCGAGUUUGAGCAAGUAGGCGUUGGCCCAUAUUGGACACAGAGCCAGCACACUGAACACUGAGAGCCAAGGAGUCUUGAACGGCCGACUCUUCAGACCGUUCUGAAAGGAUCUUAUUAUCCCUUGGAGUGAGAAGAUUUCUAGCUACCACAGUAGCGGUUAUGUUAUUCUUCAUCAUAGAUUCCCCAACCGUAAGAGGACCAUUAGAAGAUAAGAAGGACGGGCGCCAUAUAUUAUCCUGACGCUGCUCGUCUGUAUCACUUCUAAGACUCAAAUCUAAGCAAAUGUUAGAUGGGCAAGUCAUUUUUCAGAAAUGAUGAAGGAAAAACAGAGGUCAAAAUAAAAUUUCAAAGGUCCAAGAUAGGGGAAAUUUCUACAGGCAGUAACUUUCUGAGCAUACUUUUGAACACAAUUGAUGUCUCUAUAAAAGAAGAGGCAGCAAAGCCACUUGUUCAAAGAUCGAUGAGGCACCGCUCUCCGAAUUUCAAAAGCCAGAUUUUCCUGAAUAAAAUUCGUUGGCAUUUUUCAGACGUAAUCUCAGCUUUUCAGAUAUCGCGUGCAACUUUGUCAAAGAUCUCUGACAAAGUUGAAAACGCGUAAAUCUUACUGUUCUAUUUACACCACAGUUGCUGACAAGAGUAAAAGCACAGCACCACCACUUGCUAUUGAGAAAUCUCUAUAUAUGUCGACCUCUGUUCUCCAUGACAAGGCAGACCCGCAACACUGCAAGAAUACCUAACUCUUCCUCAUCUCCGAGAAUGCAUCUUCAACAUAGCAUUUCGAAAUACUCAGUUUUCUUUCUCUCCGAGAAUACCUCUUCAAACAUGUCACACCAGAGCAAGAUUAUCACAUAUCUUCAAGGACCAGAGCAAGAUUAUCUCAUAUCAUGCAAUCUCCCUGUCCUUUCCUUUGUCCAUGUUCUUGCCUGCAAAGACAAGGAUAAAGAAAGCAAUAUGUCGGAACUUCCACUCAAACUCCCGGUAAGGAACCGACUGCCUGGAACAUUUCCUGAUUGCUUACCUAGUAUUGCUCUCGAGUAGUCAUCUUCAACGGUUGGAGCUGGGUCUACAGUCACCAAGAAGUGAUGAACCAUUCAAAUGCAAGGGUUUGCAUUCCUCUCCUGCAUCAGGGGACAAAUCCUACAAGAGAAGAUGCCACAUAUGCAUGGGGGAAAAAGCAGUGAAAAUACUACUUAAGCAAGGGGAGCAAGUAAGGAAAGUGAAAAUGAUACAUUGAAGCAUGUGGAGACAAGCGCAACAAACGCGUGCUAAUUCAUCCCUGACAAAACUGAAGAUCACUUGCCACAUGAAGCUCCUCAUGGUCCAAUUUCAUUCAAGAUCAAGCCUCGAAGGUCCUUGAAGAAAUCACAAGUCCGAUUCAAGAUCAAGUGUUCAUUACUCUUGAAUCAAAUUCCGCUCCAGAUAAAAGGAGUAAAUUCCGAUCUUCAAUGUUAGUCUAGCAGAAAGUCCUACAACCCAGUUCAAGAAAAAGGCUGUGGAAAGUUAACAAUAAGUAAAGCAACUCUUUUAGCAAUUCUUCUUACUAAGAGACUAAAGCAGAACAAUCAACGAUCAACCUAAAUGAUUUGAGAUCAGGGGGAGAUACUCAUCAGGGGGAGCAUCCAAGACAGAUCAAGAUUUUAACGAGUCAAUCGAAGACUUGUGGCCAUCCAAGGGGGAGUGUUGUAAAUAUUAUGUGGAUGGUCCACAUGAAUAGUUUGUUACUAUUUAUGCAUAGUAUUUUCACUAUUCAUUUGUGGAAAAUUUGUAAAGUGAAUAGUGCUUUCUUUUGUUUAUAUAAAGGAAGAAGAUGAAUGAAGUGAGGGAAGUUCACGGGAAAGAAAGAGAGGAAGGAAGGAAGAGGAAGAGAGAGAAGGAAGAGGAAGAGAGAGAAUAGAGGAAGAUGAGAGGAGAUAAUAGAGAGAGUUAUCUUUGUACUCCUAUUAUUUCAGAUUAUAAUGAAAGCACCACUGCUGCCCCGAGGACGUACUCCAGUCACACUGACUGUAGAGGAACCUCGUAAAUUUUGUGUCUUGUUUCAUUUAUUCCACUGCACCCACCGUCGAUUUUACAACAAG